rnacentral:rRNA from 1 species
UACGAAGGGGGCUAGCGUUGCUCGGAAUCACUGGGCGUAAAGCGCACGUAGGCGGAUAUUUAAGUCGGUGGUGAAAUCCUGGAGCUCAACUCCAGAACUGCCUCCGAUACUGAAUGUCUCCGAGUCCGGGAGAGGUGAGUGGAACUGCGAGUGUAGAGGUGAAAUUCGUAGAUAUUCGCAAGAACACCGGUGGCGAAGGCGGCGAGCUGGCCUGUUACUGACGCUGAGGCGCGACAGCGUGGGGAGCAAACAGG